UCCUUAGAUGUCCUGGGCUGCACGCGCGCUACACUGGAAGUUACGGAUUGAGAUACUACCUUGUCCGAAAUGGUCCGGGUAAUCACCUAAAAGCUUGUCAUAAUUGGAAUGGAUUAUUGUAACUAGUAAUCCUGAACGAGGAAUUCCUAGUAAGUCCCAGUCAACAGCUGGUACUGAUUACGUCCCUGCCCUUUGUACACACCGCCCGUCGCUACUACUGAUUGGACGUUUAAGCAAGAUUUUUAAACACUGACAGUGUGUAGUUCACGCUAUACUACAGUGAGAAGAAGAAGAUCGAGCUUACUUGUCUAGAGGAAGUAAAAGUCGUAACA
rnacentral:rRNA from 1 species